UACAGAGGGGGCAAGCGUUAUUCGGAAUUAUUGGGCGUAAAGGGCGCGUAGGCGGCCGUGCAAGUGGAAGGUGAAAUCCCUCGGCUCAACCGAGGAACUGCCUUUCAAACUGCAUGGCUUGAGUCCGGGAGAGGUGAGUGGAAUUCCCAGUGUAGCGGUGAAAUGCGUAGAUAUUGGGAGGAACACCAGUGGCGAAGACGGCUCACUGGACCGGAACUGACGCUGAGGCGCGAAAGCGUGGGGAGCAAACGGG
rnacentral:rRNA from 1 species